UCGCGAAAACUCCGCAAUGUGGGAAACCACGACGGGGGAACUCCCAGUGCGUGCACUUUGUGUACGCUGUUCUCGUGCCUAAAAAGCACGAGAAGUAAGGGCCGGGUAAGACGGGUGCCAGCCGCCGCGGUAAUACCCGCGGCCCGAGUGGUGCUCAUUAUUAUUGAGUCUAAAACGUCCGUAGCCGGUCGGGUAGAUUCCUGGGUAAAUCGAACCGCUCAACGGUUCGAACACCGGGGAGACCGCCUGACUUGGGACCGGGAGAGGCGUGAGGUACUCCUGGGGUAGGGGUAAAAUCCUGUAAUCCUGGGAGGACCACCAGUGGCGAAGGCGUCGCGCUAGAACGGAUCCGACGGUCAGGGACGAAGCCCAGGGGCGCAAACGGGAUUAGAUACCCCGGUAGUCC
rnacentral:rRNA from 1 species